rnacentral:misc_RNA from 1 species
GAUGAAGAACGUAGCGAAAUGCGAUAAGUAAUGUGAAUUGCAGAAUUCAGUGAAUCAUCGAAUCUUUGAACGCACAUUGCGCCCGCUAGUAUUCUGGCGGGCAUGCCUGUCCGAGCGUCAUUUCAACCCUCAAGCCCCCGGGCUUGGUGUUGGGGAUCGGCGAGCCUCCGCGCCCGCCGUCCCCUAAAUCUAGUGGCGGUCUCGCUGUAGCUUCCUCUGCGUAGUAGCACACCUCGCACUGGGAAACAGCGCGGCCACGCCGUUAAACCCCCAACUUCUAAACGUUUGACCUCGGAUCAGGUAGGAAUACCCGCUGAACUUAAGCAUAUCAAUAAGCGGAGGA